rnacentral:rRNA from 1 species
CUAGCUGGUCUGAGAGGAUGAUCAGCCACACUGGAACUGAGACACGGUCCAGAUUCCUACGGGAGGCAGCAGUGGGAUAUUGCACAAUGGGGGAAUCCUGAUGCACCUAUUCGGGUGUAUGAAGAAGCCCUUUGGGUUGUAAAGUAUUUUCAGUUGUGAGGAAGGGGGUUUCGUUAAUAGCGGCAUUUUUUGACGUUAGCAACAGAAGAAGCACCGGCUAAUUCCGUGCCAGCAGCCGCGGUAAUACGGAGGGUGCGAGCGUUAAUCGGAAUUACUGGGCGUAAAGCGCAUGCAGGUGGUUCAUUAAGUCAGAUGUGAAAGCCCGGGGCUCAACCUCGGAACUGCAUUUGAAACUGGUGAACUAGAGUACUGUAGAGGGGGGUAGAAUUUCAGGUGUAGCGGUGAAAUGCGUAGAGAUUUGAAGGAAUACCAGUGGCGAAGGCGGCCCCCUGGACAGAUACUGACACUCAGAUGCGAAAGCGUGGGGAGCAAACAGGAUUAGAUACCCUGUAUUCCACCCGUAAAUGAUUUUAAUUGGAGGUUGUGCCCUUGACCGUGGCUUUUGGGAGUUAAUGUUUUAAUUAGACCUCCUGGGGAGUACGUUGCAAGAUUAAAAUUCAAAUGAAUUGACGGGGGCCCUGCAACAAGCGGUGGAGCAUGUGGUUUAAUUUGAUGCAACGGGAAGAACCUUACUUAUUUUUGACAUCCAGAGAAGCCAGCGGAGACGCAGGUGUGCCUUCGGGAGUUCUGAGACAGGUGCUGCAUGGCUGUCGUCAGCUCGUGUUGUGAAAUGUUGGGUUAAGUCCCGCAACGAGCGCAACCCUUAUCCUUGUUUGCCAGCGAGUAAUGUCGGGAACUCCAGGGAGACUGCCGGUGAUAAACCGGAGGAAGGUGGGGACGACGUCAAGUCAUCAUGGCCCUUACGAGUAGGGCUACACACGUGCUACAAUGGCGCAUACAGAGGGCUGCGAACUUGCGAGAGUGAGCGAAUCCCAAAAAG